rnacentral:lncRNA from 10 species
CAGCAACAAGACAAGAAGGGCUGAGCAAAAGGUGUGGAGGACCGAGGCAAGGCAAUAGGAGCAGGCAGGAGGGCAAAUCACAGGCCAUGUGGACUUGCUUACAUUUUAUUCCAAGAAAAUGGGAAACUAUUGAAGGGUCCUAAUCAAAAAGGUGGCGUGAUCAGGCUCAUGUUUUCAACAUAUACCUCUAAAUGCUGAAUGGAUAAUACAUCAAAUAGGGACAAGAGAGAGUGUGUAGAAAAUGGGGGAGUGGGACUGGCUAUUGAGCCAGGCAAAAGGUAUAUAAAGUCUGGCGCUCGAAACAAAACAGGUGGAUUACAAAGGAGAUGUCUCCACAGCCUAGAGGUGCUAGGACUAAGCAGCUACUGUACAUGCCUAUUUCACAUUGGCCAUUGGCUGUGCACUCUAACAAUGCUACUUUACUUGUUGCCUACUAGGCUCUGUGAGGUUGGGACCCCCAUUUUAUAGAUGGGAACUCAAAGAAAUAAAGUGACUUGUUUUUCAUCCCAUCUAAUAAUAGGGAGUAGAAACAGGAUUUGAACCUAGGAGUCACAUCUGAAGUUCAUGUUGUCCCCAUUAUAUCUCACUAUCUCUAGCCUGGGGAGCUUAGAUGCUCAUGUUACCAGGCACCAGAAUAGGUCGUAAGCAC